GGUACGGAGUGGCGAGCAGCUGGAGUGAUACGAAGGGUGACAGGGGUGAUCGGAGUUACAUGGCGUAAAGUGCGCGUAGGUGGGUUAGUAAGUGGGAAGUGAAAUCCCCGGGCUUAACCUGGGAACUGCGUUCAAAACUGCUGAGCUAGAGUACGGGAGGGGUGGGUGGAAUUUCCUGUGUAGCGGUGAAAUGCGUAGAUAUAGGAAGGAACACCAGUGGCGAAGGCGACCACCUGGACUGAUACUGACACUGAGGUGCGAAAGCGUGGGGAGCAAACAGGAUUAGAUACCCGUGUAGUC
rnacentral:rRNA from 1 species